rnacentral:lncRNA from 1 species
AAGAGUCUUUCAGCUUUUCUUUUUCUUUAUCUAGGAAUUUGCGUUGUUGAAACUGGUUUUUGGAUAGAGAGGAGGAACUUCCAGAAAGUCCAUAAGCCUGGUUCUACCCUCAGAAUGAAUGCAUGUGUUUUCCAUUUUCAAAACACUGAGACACUGAAGCAGAAAAAUCCAUACAAUAAUCUGACAUGAGAUUGGAGAUUCAUCUUAUGGUCAAUUCUUGUCAGACUGAACUGCUUGCCUCCAGAGACAUACCUAUGAAAUUCUAGCUGCCCCUUCACCUUGUGGAAAACAAGGAUAAGAUUGGAUGUGAACAAUGGCCUUGUGAACAAUAGAGUAGGAAAUUGAUAGCCACAUGUCUCAACCUUGAAUCACUGCCAGCUAACCACCAGCAGUGGGCUUCUCUCUGCCUAAGAGCUCUUAUCUAUAAAAUCUAGUCUGUCUUAUGCAGUCAACAUGGGUUUGCUGAGAGAGUAGAGAAAUGUUCUUGUAUUCCUAAGAGAGAAUGCAAUAAGAAAUUGCUUACUGGGGCCUCAGUUAUUACUAAUGGGAACUAGUAGGCUAGUGUGCCUUAGUAGAUUAUCAGGGGACUUGUGGAACUCCUGAUUAAUGAGUUUUGUGUGCAUGGGGAACUCUGUAUGGGGGAAUUGAUAAUUUUCUCUAAAUUCUUAAUGUCAUCUCUG